GAUGAACGCUGACAGAAUGCUUAACACAUGCAAGUCCACUUGAACUUCGGUUUGGGUGGCGGACGGGUGAGUAACGCGUACAGAACUUGCCUCACAGCUAGGGACAACAUUUGGAAACGAAUGCUAAUACCUGAUAUUAUGAUUAUAUGGCAUCGUAUAAUUAUGAAAGCUAUAUGCGCUGUGAGAGAGCUUUGCGUCCCAUUAGCUAGUUGGAGAGGUAACAGCUCACCAAGGCGAUGAUGGGUAGCCGGCCUGAGAGGGUGAUCGGCCACAAGGGGACUGAGACACGGCCCUUACUCCUACGGGAGGCAGCAGGGGGGAAUAUUGGACAAUGGACCGAGAGUCUGAUCCAGCAAUUCUGUGUACAAGAUGAAGUUUUUCGGAAUGUAAAGUGCUUUCAGUUGGGAAGAAAAAAAUGACGGUACCAACAGAAGAAGUGACGGCUAAAUACGUG
rnacentral:rRNA from 1 species